UACAGAGGUCUCAAGCGUUGUUCGGAUUCAUUGGGCGUAAAGGGUGCGUAGGUGGCGAGGUAAGUCAGGUGUGAAAUUUCGGAGCUCAACUCCGAAACUGCAUUUGAUACUGCCUUGCUUGAGGACUGGAGAGGAGACUGGAAUUCACGGUGUAGCAGUGAAAUGCGUAGAUAUCGUGAGGAAGACCAGUGGCGAAGGCGGGUCUCUGGACAGAUCCUGACACUGAGGCACGAAGGCCAGGGGAGCAAACGGG
rnacentral:rRNA from 1 species